UACAGAGGUCUCAAGCGUUGUUCGGAUUCAUUGGGCGUAAAGGGUGUGUAGGUGGCGCGCUAAGUCGGGUGUGAAAUUUCGGAGCUUAACUCCGAAACUGCAUUUGAUACUGGCGUGCUUGAGGACUGGAGAGGAGACUGGAAUUCAUGGUGUAGCAGUGAAAUGCGUAGAGAUCAUGAGGAAGACCAGUGGCGAAGGCGGGUCUCUGGACAGUUCCUGACACUGAGACACGAAGGCCAGGGGAGGCAAACGGG
rnacentral:rRNA from 1 species